GCGGAUGUGGUGGAAUUGGUAGACACGCUAGUCUUAGGAACUAGUGCCGAAAGGCGUGGAGGUUCAAGUCCUCUCAUCCGCACCA
rnacentral:tRNA from 1 species